CAAAUGAAGUUGACGGGGGCCCGCACAAGCGGUGGAGCAUGUGGUUUAAUUCGACGCAACGCGAAGAACCUUACCUGGGUUUGACAUCCCGAUCGUACUCUAUGGAAACAUAGGGGUCAGUUCGGCUGGAUCGGUAGCAGGUGCUGCAUGGCUGUCGUCAGCUCGUGUCGUGAGAUGUUGGGUUAAGUCCCGCAACGAGCGCAACCCUUGUCCUUAGUUGCCACCAUUCAGUUGGGCACUCUAAGGAGACUGCCGGUGUUAAACCGGAGGAAGGUGGGGAUGACGUCAAGUCCUCAUGGCCCUUAUAUCCAGGGCUACACACGUGCUACAAUGGCCGGUACAAAGGGUUGCCAACCCGCGAGGGGGAGCCAAUCCCAUAAAGCCAGUCGUAGUCCGGAUCGUAGUCUGCAACUCGACUACGUGAAGUCGGAAUCGCUAGUAAUCGUGGAUCAGAAUGUCACGGUGAAUACGUUCCCGGGUCUU
rnacentral:rRNA from 1 species